rnacentral:rRNA from 1 species
AAACAUGUCUUAAGGAUUAUAAUUUUAAGUCUGAUCUGCUCCAUGAAAUUUUUAAAUAGCUGCAGAAUUUUAACUGUACAAAGGUAGCAUAAUCAAUAGUUUUUUAAUUAAAAGCUGGAAUGAAUGAUUUGAUAAAGUAAUUUUUGUCUCAGAUUUAUUAAAAGUAAAAAUUUUUUUUUAGUAAAAAAACUAAAAUAAUUUUAAAAGACGAGAAGACCCUAUAGAUUUUUAUAUUUAGAUUAAAAAAAUAUUAAAAUUAUAAAAUAAAAUUUAUAAAAUAAAUAUUAGAUUGGGGAAAUUAUUAAAUUGAAUAAAUUUUAAUUUUAAUUAAACUUAAAUUAAAGAAUUUUUGAUCUUAAAAAUUUAAAUUAUAAGAAUAAAUUACCUUAGGGAUAACAGCGUAAUUUUUUUGGAGAGAUCUUAUUGAUAAAAAAGUUUGCGACCUCGAUGUUGAAUUAAGAUGAAAUAUUAAUGUAGAAAUUAAUAAGUUUUGGUCUGUUCGACCAUUAAAAUCUUACAUGAUCUGAGUUCAAACCGGAGA